rnacentral:rRNA from 1 species
GACGAACGCUGGCGGCGUGCCUAAUACAUGCAAGUAGGACGCAGUUGCGAACGGGUGAGUAACGCGUAGGUAACUACCUAUUAGAGGGGGAUAACUAUUGGAAACGAUAGCUAAUACCGCAUACUAGUAGAUGGACCUGCGUUGUAUUAGCUAGUAGGUAGGGUAAUGGCCUACCUAGGCAACGAAACAUAGCCGACCUGGGAGGGUGGACGGGCACACUGGGAAUUGGCAACGGCCCCGACCCCUACGGGAAGCAGCAGGAGGGAAUCUUCGGCAAUGGGGGGAAACCUGAACGAGCAACGCCGGGGGAGUGAAGAAGGUUUUCGGAUCGUAAAGCUCUGUUGUUCGGGAAGCGGUACUUAACGAGGAAGGGACGGCUAACUACGUGCCAGCAGCCGCGGUAAUAC